rnacentral:lncRNA from 1 species
GGGUCAACUCAUAAUCCAUAAUAUCUCUAUAUAGCUCUUUAUCUUCUAAUUAUGGUCAAUCUAGGAUUGAUUGAACUUUUAUUGGGAUUGAUUUGAAUUCUAGCGGAGCCAGCUCAUGAAUUUCUAAAGUCAGCUCAAGUUGUGCUCAAUGUUUUGCUAUUCUCUGUUUAUAUGCUGAGAUAGUCCCAAAGUCGACUUAUGUUUUAGUAGGGUUAACUCAUCUAGUGGAGUCCACUCGUGAAUUUCUAGAGUCAGAUCAUUUUCAGAAUAUCUUUUUCUAUUGCUCUCUAUUUGGCAUCCUAAGACCAUUUAGGAGU